CCAGAGGCGGCAAGCGUUGUUCGGCCUUCUUGGGGUUCCCUCUCCUUUCUUCUUCUCUUUCCUUCGGUUUUUCCAGCCUUCUGCUUAACGGAAGAAUGGCGGUCGAAACUGCAUGGCUUGAGUGCGGGAGGGGAGAGUGGAACUUCUGGUGGAGCGGUGAAAUGCGUAGAUAUCGGGAGGAACGUCGGCGGCGAAAGCGACUCUCUAGACCGUAACUGACGCUGAGUGUGCGAAAGCUAGGGGAGCAAACGG
rnacentral:rRNA from 1 species